UUUUCUCCUUCUUUUACCUGAAACUGAGAUGGCGGCACCCUUAUUCAGAGAAAUCGAGACAGGCUGAGAUGGAGACAUUGUUGAUGAUUUGAAUUUAGAGAGAAGAGAAGCAACAUCUCAGUUGCUGAAUCAAUUCGAGAAUGAAAUGGAGUUACAGUUUGAAUCAAGAAGAAAUCAAGGAUUCUGAAGUUAGGGUUUGGUUUUUGCUGCUCAUGUAGAUAUAUGAGAUGAAUGGAGAAGAAGCUGGUGAUUCAGAAGGAUGUUGAGCUCGAGUAUGAGAUGACAUAGGUACGAUCAGAAUAACUUAGGGUUUGUUCUGAAUCUCAGUUUAAGAAGAACAAGGUACUGUGUUGUUGGUUUUGAUGGAUGUGUAUGAGCUGAACGGUAGUGCAAGUUGUGGCCUGAAUGGAUUACUAAAAUGAAGCUGAGAUGAAUUGAGGUGAUCUGGUGAUGUUGGUUUGUGAAGAACAAUUGGGUGUUGAAGGAAAGUUUGUGGUACUGAAGCUGAUUUGCAAGUACAGUGCUGGAACUCGAGAUUGUGAUGCUUGAAGACUCGUGAUGGUGGUAAAGGGUAUUGCACAGAGAAAGUUGUCUGGUGGUUGUGUUGGAGGUGCUGGAAAACUAUGAAGGUGUUGGCUCAAGAAUGGUCAGAUGAAUGUUAGGUUAACAAGCAACUGGAAGCUGAGGUCUGUGAAGUAGCGGUGAUUGAUUGAAGCAAUAACAUCUGAUGAUUUUCAAAUAUGAGAAGAAGUUGUAUUGCAGCUGUAGCUCUAGACGGUUUGUUGGUGGAAUCAAAUAGCUUGCAGAAUGGGGUUGUUAUGGUGUUGCAGUGGUUAUGUACGACACAUAAAUGGAGAUUGCUAUUGAACAUGAGAAUGACAAGUGCUUGAGUAUGAGAUAAUUUGUUGUUAGUGAUAUGCUACAAGAUAAAUUCAGUGACAAUGACUUGAGGCUUGGUUGUUGAGAUAAGUUGCAACUACAGACUCAAAACAAGGACAUGGAAGAAGAUGGUGGAUGUUUGAGUGAUGUAUGUUGUUUGAUUUGGUUGCAGCUGCUACAGAAUUACAGUAAUGGAUGAAUGGUUGUGCAAGCUUGAACUUGAGAUGAAGAAGUUGGUAGCAAAGGAAUACAAUAAUGGAGUUGGUGCUGUUGGUUGUGCUGGAGUGACUUGAUGCAGGAAAUUGCAGGUGAUUGGUGUUGUAGUGUGAAGUAUAGAUGCAUGUGUAGGAGUGCAGUGCCGCAAUGAAUGCAAUGAGUUUGCAGAGAUGAUGUUGCAGUUGUGCAAGGGUUAGAAGUCAGGUUCAGUUGCUGUGUACGGCUGAAGUGGUGGUUGAUGCUGGUUAUGCUAGGUGCAGCUGGACUGGAGUAGCUUGCAGUUACACAAAACUGACUAGGUUAGAGAGUAUAUGGCCUGAGAAAUGACAGAGUGCCUGGACCAGAACUGCAGAGACAGUGCGAAAACACAACUAGAAUGGCGAGACAGUGGUACUAGUUCCGGUUGUUGGAUUUCGGAAAGAAAAGUGGGAAUCUUAAAGUUUUAUUGAAUCAUGAAGGGGGUACGAGUCAGAUGUAAAGUUUGGCGUCCGGGUAUAUGAGUAUGGAGUCGCGCUUUUGGGCACGUUUCUGCAAGAACAAGGAAUUUUCUUAGAUGGUUUCUGCGAAUGUAUGAACUAUAGAGAAAAAGAGUUAGAGUUGCUGGAAGUAUAUAUUUUCCGGUGACAGUUUACGAUGACUCAGGUAACUGGGAACAUUUUUAGAUGACCGGAUCCCGGCGACAAUGACCAGAUACCGGUGAUGACAUCAGCAAACCGACGCCCCGGUUUUGGACCCAGAAUUUCCAGAACAGAUGUUUUAACUCAUGGGAUUGGUGGACUACUAGUGGAUGGACUUUGAAAACUUGGACCUAAUUUUGGAGAAAAGUUACAAAAGAUACUAAUCCCUGGCUCCCAAGAAUUGGAAUUAUCCAAGGUGUGGAAUCAUUACUCGUGAAGGAACAAUACUCCAAGCAAGACUUGACGAGACGGAAGAACAAGAGUUGGAAGUGGAAGAGGUUUUACAACUAGUAGAAGAACAAGAGGUUCCGGUUGAACAAGAGAUACCUUUUGAAGAAGAAGAAGAAGAAGAAGAAGAAGAAGCAAUGGGUGAUGCGAAUUGUACACUCAAGGACCUAGCUUCUCACAAGCUCGAUACACAACAAUGGUGUAUCCAAACAAACUCAACCUUUGAGAUCAAUCCGGGGUUGAUUAGAGAGGCUUACCAAAGUUUCAUGGCAUGUCGAAUGAAGACCCAAACAAACAUCUUAUGGACUUCCACGCCAUAGUCAGGGCAAUGCUUCCAUCGGAGACUAAUGCGGAUGGUGCAAUGUUGAAAGUUUUUCCAUUCUCUUUGGCGGAUAGUGCUAAGGAUUGGUUGUAUUAUUUUCCUUCUAGAAGUGUCACAACACGGAAUGGGUUGAAAAAAAUCUUUUUAGAGAGAUAUUUCCUGCAUCAAAGGCUACUCAAAUUCACAAGGAGAUUUAUGGAAUGAAGCAACAUGUGGGGGAAUUAUUGUAUGAGUGUUGGGAGCAAUACAAGAGAUUGGAAGCAAGCUGUCUACAUCACCAUUUCAGUGAUGUUAUGAUACUCCAAUACUUUUAUGAAGGUCUUCAACCAAGUGAUAGAUCUCUUCUUGACGCCACGUGUGGUGGUGCACUAAUGAACAAGAUGGUGGCCCAAGCUACCGAGUUGAUUGAAAGUAUGGCUGCAAACUCGCAACAAUUUUGCACUAGAGGUGAACCAAUGGUUAGGCGAGUGCAUGAAGUUUAUGAUUCAUCAUCACACCUUGAUCAAAGGAUGGGUAGUAUAGAGAGAAUGAUGCAAAAUAUGGCUGCAGUUAUUAUACCUUCAUAUGAUGAAGAGUUGGAGCAAGCUAGUGCGGUCUUUCCAAAUCAGCAAAAGACGGUAUGAUCCCUACUCCAACACUUACAAUCUGGGAUGGAGAGAUCACCCAAACUUUAGAUAUGCCAACAAACAAGGAGCGGUUUCACAACCUACUUUCAACCGUCCAAGAGGGUUCCAAUCACAACAGCAACAAUUCCAGCCGCAACAACAAACUCAAAAUCAAGGUUCCUUUCUCGAUGAAAAGCUUCAAAGCAAUGAUGCAAGGCUUUACUACUAUGUUUGAACAAAGUCAACAAGAGACCAAGAGUGAGAUCAAUUACUUGCAAACACAAAUUGGUUCCAUGGAUACUGAGUUGAACCAAGUGAAGGCACAAAUUGGUGGGAAACUCCCUUUCAACCUCUUAACCCAAAAGGGGAUGUCAAUGCCAUUACGUUGAGAAGCGGUACACAACUUGUGCAACCCGAACUUACUGAUUUGGGCAAAGAGGAAGCUCCAAAGGAACCUGUUUUGGAGGAGAAGAAUGAGGAUUCUCCCCAAACUUCUGAGGAAAGAAUCACGCUGUCAAGAUUCUACGAAGUUCAAGAUUUCAUCAUCAAGAGUUGAAGACCGAAGACGAAGAUGAAGACCAGGAUUAAAGACCGAAGACGUUUCUAUGGAUGUUGUGAGAGCGGUGCUAACUGCACGUCAAACGGAUAACGCGAUAAGUAAACAUAUUCCCACCUUCGUUAAGUGGUUGAUUUCCUUUGUUAGAGAUCGUCGGAAAAAAUGGUUUUCAAAAUGAUAAAAGAUGUGGGUUUUCAAAACAAUUCGGAGGGUUUUGUCUUCCUACUGUUCAACGUGUGGCAGGACUCUCUCUUCAUUCCUACCUGGACACAUGUGUGACCCCAUAAAAAGCUAUUUAUUAUUGAGAGAAACUUCAUAAAACCCUUUCUUGUGAGGCAGAGUCGAGACUUUUGAUCACUCUCGAACCCGAAUUUCUUUCGAUAAGGGAUGGUUAUCUCACUCUCAACUUUUAAGGAUGAGAUUGUG